GCGCCGAGGGGGUAGGGGCGACGGGGACGGAGGCGGGGUAGGGGCAGCCUUUUCCCAGGCGGUAGCGGGGGCGGUGGUUCUGUUGUCCUGUUGCCCUUUUAAGCUGCGGCUUGACAGGGGCCGCGCCUCCUGUCGGUGGAGUCGGCUACAAAGGGAGCAGCCCCCCAGGCCGCCACACAGCUCCCGCCAAGACCUGGUGCCCCUUGCCAUUUUCCAGCCGCGCUCCCAGGAGAGUGGAGGCUGCAGGAAGAGGCGGGUCUUUAGGCUCACAAGAGCUCGGCCAGGCGGCCCCGCGGGGUGGUCGUGGCCAUGACAGCGGCUCCAGACGGCUCCCCUUCCACGCCCUUCCCGCCGGAGAUGAGGGGAAGAUGUCUGUGUCAAGAUUCAAGGCCAAACUGAAGUUGCUGGCGUCUAUCUUCCACGAGAACCAGGAGGCUCAGCUGCGGCUCACGCUCCACUGCAACAUGAGAAUGGGACAACAGAAGAAGUGACUUCAGAGGAAGAGGAAGAAGAGGAGAUGGCUGAACAGCCGAAUUCUCUUAAGUGGAGGGAUCGCAUAGGUGUCCUGGAGCUCCACCAUGAUUCAACCAAGAUGGUGUCCUGGGUAUGGUGGAAGAAGAUGUUCUCUGGGAUGCAGACAUUUCCCUGAACAAGUCCAUCACAGAGAGCAGGAGAGUCUGGCCUCUUCAGAUGUGAGCCAUCAUUAAGUUCAAAUUCACUCCACCAUCCAUGCAAACUGUGAGAGCUGCUCCAUGGUGCCCAAAUCAGCACAUUCAGCUAGAAUCUCUUGUCACUGGAGAAGCUGUCUGAUUCUCUGAACAUGACGCAAGCCUUGCUGUCACCACCACCGUGAAGGUCAGAUACAGCACCCAAGGUACUUGCUGCAAUAGGCCUUUCUUCCCCUGCAACUGAGGUGAUAAUUGAAUCAUAAUACCACUGCACGCCUUGGGUUAUAGGAAUCCCGUUUCCCACUCAGCAUUGCAUUCAAGACAAAGGACAUACCAAGUCAACCCUAACAUCUCACAUCAGAUGUUCAUAAACGGCUCACAUUUUCUGUACUUUAUGCAUAUUUUUUUACUCAUAAAAGAGUCAAGGGGAAACAGCUUUGAAGAAGGAGCCCAAAUGAUAUUAGCGUUCAUACUUAUUUUUAGACUUCAAAAAGAUAGGUAUCUAAACACUACUUACUGGAUAAAUGUAAGGGUGUAUUUUAGCCAUUGUAGAUUUCCUAACAGUAAUUAUUAACUAUACAACCAUACGAACUCAUUAUUAAGUACUUAGUGUGCUUUUGACAUCAGCUCCAUCUCGAUUUCUUUGAAUUGCAUGAGCUGUUUUGUAGGACAGUACACAUCUGUCCUGGAAGUGUCCCAGAGAGCCAGCAAACCCCUCACCUGCUGGACUGUGGCUGUGUUGGGAACCUGUCUACGUUUAAAACUCCAAUGCUUUGACUGAGUGGUAUUGGCUGGAUAAAAUCUGUGGUCUUUGUGAGCUCUACAAGGGCAAAGCUGGUUAACUUGUUCAUUUCAAAGGAGUAAUCUUAAUAUUGUUAAUGUGGCUUGUGGCAUCAAGGUUAUUAGAAUUUAAGGACUUAAUAGAUUUCUCCAUCUACUACAUCAAUGGUAAUUGUAGAAAUUAGCUAAAAUGCACUACUGCUUAAAUGCAAUGGAAAAAUAUUUCUUUCUUCCUUUCAAGACUUUAAGAGGUCUGAAAUGUUUCUGUCCAGGCCCUUGCGCCUCUGCCACCGCUGUGAGAAGUACAUAUCCUGGCCAGCCUGCUGACUCAGGAGGUUGAGAAUCAGGUGCAGCAGACCAGAGCACUGCUUCAGUGUCAGGGUAGAGCUGCUCCAUGACCCAGAGAUUCAUACGAGCCAUCCCACCACACUCGUCCCACCUGGCUUGUGUCAAUGUUCCAUUACUGUUCACCGGCUGCCCACGCACCUCCAGCUCCACAUCAGAAUGUGUUGCUAGACGUCAUUGUCAUGGUGGCAGGAGGAAUUUGUUAAACUUCAAAGGAAUGCCUGUUUGUCAUAAAGCCUUUAAAACAAGAAGAUGGCAUCUCCUAUGUGGGAGGAGUGAGGUUUGAUCCUGCGGAAAAUAAACUUAGCUGACAUUUUCGAGUGCGUCUUGUGUUCUGGGCUGUCCUUGCGACAGUGUCUUGGCAGGUAGUACUAUAGUCACUCCUUUAACGUGGGGACACCCGAGUUUGGAUAACGUGAGCAGUGUGCUGGAGGUCAGUCGGCAGGGGGCAGAGUUGGAUUUGAAGGUGAGGUCGUGUUUGUGGGGCCACUGUUUUUAAUCACGGUACUAGAGGCACCACAGAGAGUGUAGAGAAAACAGAACCGCAAGGCCUGAGUGCCUUAAAGAGAGGUUUUCAGAAUCAGGACCCAGCAUGCUUAUUCUUGCUGCAGUGCCUUAACACGCUAAACAGCGCUUAACCGCGCUAAAACAUCCCAUGGGAAACUGUGACUGCAAGGCCCGGGGGAUGUUCCUUCUCAGCCCAUGCCCUGCCCAUGCCCCAAGUAAAAGCAGUUUUAGGGACCACUAGUGUCCCAGGAAUCAUGGUAUUAAAGAGUUGUUGGGUGUGGUGGCUCAUGCCUGUAAUCCCAGCUGCUUUGGAGGCUGAGGCAGGAGAAUCGCUGGAACCCAGGAGGCAGAGGCUGCAGUGAGCCGAGAUCGCGCCAUUGCACUCCAGCCUGGACAACAAGAGCCAAACUCCAAUUCAAAAAAAAAAAAAGUUAACCUUUCAAAGCAAGAUGGUUUUAGCCAUAAAUUUUCAUAGCAACAGAGGACAGCACAUACCAGUGACGGAACCGAUACUUUGAAUCAAGCCAGCCAGAGGGGUCUACACCCCCUUCCACUGCAGACACCAAAACACAGGGUGCCAUUCUCCAUUCCCUGCCAUUUACAAAGAAGAAUGGACAAAGUAAGUUUGAGGUUAACGAAAGCAGCCUCAGGAUGUUGAGUUCCUAGUCUCAGUUCAAACAGCUAUUUGUGUGAGGCUGGGCAAGUCGCUGGGGUGGGCCUCAAUCCCCUCAUCUGAUUUUACCUGAGGCGCCACCAACUCUAGGAAGUCUCCCAUGAUUGUCUAAGGCUGGGAUCCCUCCCUGUGUGGCCCUUACUCUCUUUUUACCUAAUUCCCUUCCUAAGAACGAGCUCCUUCCAGCUAAGAUAAGCUUUCUCAUGACUGCACCCCCUGUGUCUGGCAGAGGGGACAGCACCUGACAGAUGCCUGCCUUGGAGGCUGGGGCUGCCACAACAAAGAACCACAGCCUGGGGGCUUAAACACAGACGUGCAUUUCCUCACAGUGCUGGAGGCUGGAAGUCCAAGAUCAAGUGUGUCCUAGAGUGCAUGAAAGAAGCUGGAGAAAAAUCACCAUGGAGUUUAUCCUGGUUUUGCCUCUCAUGGAAAGAAGAGAGACAACUGAAGCCUCAAUCCAGAAACAGGUAAAUGUAUUACCUGCUUCAAACUGAUGGAUGGACAGACAGAAAGAGCAGCAAACCAACAAGCCUCCAGCUCUCAGGCCUCUCACCUCUGGCCUUGCAUUUUCUUAAGUGUGGGUCAGCGUUAUAAGGAAAUCAGACAAAAAUACAGGAGAUGGAGUUUUGCUCUGUCACCCAGGCUGGAGGGCAAUGACACCACCAUAGCUCACUGGAGCCUGGAGCUCCUGGGCUCACAUGAUCCUCCCACCUCAGCCUCCCAGGUAGCUGGGACUACAGCCACACACCACUGUGGUGGGCUCACAGGUGGUGUCAGGACUGAAGUGAACUCACUGUAGGACGCCCAGCUGGUUUCCAAGAAUUGGUCGAUGUGGGAGAAACGCCCCGCUUUGGUGUCAGAAGUGUUGUAUCCAAGGACCAGCCUCCGUAAGACCAGGACCCAAACUUCAGUUUGCAGUGCUGCACAUCAAAGGGAAACCAGCGUACAUCGAUGUAGCAGGAACUCUUGAAUAUGCCUGUGUGGGUGAUGGAAACAGAAGACUGAAACGGAAGCUGACUGAGAUGUGCUGAAAAUACACAGCAGUUCCUUCAGCCGGUUCCGCCCUCCGCACUGCAGCUAACACAGUCCAGAGCAAAUGGAAUCUGUCUUUUUAUUUAUUCGCAAAAUCUGUAAAACAGAAUCUCAGCUAAGCUUCACUGUCUUUUAAAAUCCAAACGUAACACUGACAUGCUCUCUCAAAGACUGUUUUGUGGGCUUUUUGUGCAAAAAGUUAGCUCUAUAAUCUGCAUUUACCAUGAGCAUCUUCAGACUCUAAAUAAUAAAAGUAAAGAAUGCAAAAUAUCUCAGAGAAGUUGAUAACCCUGAUGAUGAAGUUAGAAAUAGAAUCUAAAAGGUGUGUGUGUGUGUGUGUGUGUGUGUGUCUGUUUGGUGCGGGGUGAGGUAGGCAUUUUCUUUAGGUUAAAAAUGGGAAGAACACAUGAUUAUCGAGAAAUACAAUCUAGAAUUCUGGUUAAAGCUAGAAUUUUAACUAAUUUAAAUUCUAGAUGAAGAACAGAACAAGCUGGGCACAGUGUCUCAUGCCCGUAAUCCCAGUGACUCUAAGACAUUGACGUGGGAGGGUCACUUGAGACUAGGAGUUUGAGACCGGACUGGGCAACAUAGUGAGACAUCUCUAAUAAAAAAAAUUAGCUGGGUGAGGUGAUGCAUGCCUGUAGUCCCAGCUACUCAGAAGGCUAAGGCAGGAGCAUUGCUUGAGCCCAGGAGUUUGAGGCUAAAGUGAAGUGAGCUAUGAUCGAGCCCCUGCACUCCAGCCUGGGGAACACACCUAGAAUCUGUCUGUAAGAAAAAAAGUUAAAACAAACAAACAAACAAACAAACAAACAAAAACAAGAACAGAUAGAUAGGUUUAAGCUGAAGAGAUGGUGCUUGAAGGAAGAGUUUCCGCUGAAAAGAGCUAUUCCAGGCUAGGACAGGUUGGAAGUGGAUUUCCCAGAGGGCCAAGGGGAGGAAACCAGAUAGAGGCCACUCCAGUUAUUUACACUCAUGUGCUCUUCCCUGCCCAGAGGAAGGCUGCAUGGCACAAGAAGACAGGCACAGACUCGGUGUCCAGGUGUUCCUGGGGCAGGGCUGGCACUCUGCAAACUUCUGUUACUGAGUUACAGAAAGAGUGCACGCAGGAAGGGCCUCCACAGCCUUGCACACAAGGACCCCACCCCACAACCGAGUUGGGAAAAGAUACACAUUUUGUCCCCUGAAGUUCCUUUAAGUAUGCUUUGCGUCCUUACAUGAAAUGUUUAUAGGAAUCUGGAAUCAUCACAGACAAUCCCCCUCCAUUAAUAGUUGGAUCCCCCCAAAACCCACCUUGUCUGCCAGUUAGUUGGAAAGCUUUGUAACUUCAUGAGCCCAUUUCUACGAAAUAAUGGCCCGAGACAGACAGAGAAUUUCUAGAGACAGAAAGCAGAUCAGUGGUUGCUGGGAGUAGGAAUGGGAAUUAACUGCAAACAAGCAAAAGGGAUCUUUGUGGGGUGAUGGGAAUGUUCUAAAACUAGACUGUGGUAAUGGUUGCAUAAGUCUGUAAAUAUACUAAAAGUUGUUGAAUCAUGUACUUAAAAUGCAUGAUAUGUAAAUUCUCUCUCAAUAAAGCUGUUAAAAAAUAAA